rnacentral:rRNA from 1 species
UAGACCGAUAGCGAACAAGUAGAGUGAUCGAAAGAUGAAAAGCACUUUGAAAAGAGAGUUAAAAAGCACGUGAAAUUGUUGAAAGGGAAGCGCUUGCGACCAGACUCGCCUACGGGGUUCAGCCGGUAUUCGUACCGGUGUACUUCCCCGUGGGCGGGCCAGCGUCGGUUUGGGCGGCCGGUCAAAGGCCCUCGGAAUGUAACGCCUCUCGGGGCGUCUUAUAGCCGAGGGUGCCAUGCGGCCAGCCCAGACCGAGGAACGCGCUUCGGCACGGACGCUGGCAUAUGUCUAAGCGACCCUCUUGAAACAC